rnacentral:tRNA from 1 species
AAGAUUUUAAGUUAAAUCAAACUAAUAACCUUCAAAGUUGUAAAUAUCAAAAUUAGAUAAAUCUUA